CCGGGCGGCCGGGGGCGGAGCCUCGUGACCCGCUGCCCCAGGCACACGCCGGCUGCCUCCAACGCGGGCCCGGGAGGGGGUGCCCGGCGACUGGGGGUGGGGGGAACAGGGGGUUGGGGGGAACAGGGGGGCGGGCGGGAGGGGAGGCUCUGCUUCUGGUCCCCCUCGCCCUCCUCCCCCCGCACUGUGCCAGUUUAACCCGCAGAGGGGCGGAGGCAUGGGUCCCUUCCAGACUUUGUCAUUGGAAAGCUAUUCCCGUAACCCUUUCCUGCCUUCGCCUUCCCGUCCCGCCUCCCCGGCCGCAGAAAGGCGGCGGCUUGGUGGCUGAGCUGGGGCCGAGAGCUGGCAGGGCAGGAAGCCUUUGCACAAUUGAGCCUUUCCUUUGCCCGGGGACCCGCCACCCCCACCCACACCCACGUCCCUGGGCUGCGGCUGGUUCGGCGGUUCUUUGGAAGGGGGCAGAUGGAUCCGCCAGCCUCCUUGCCCUGCUUCUGACUCCGCCCACCCUUCCUUCCUCUCUACCCAGGUCUGAGCUGGGACUCGUGGGUGCAGAGGUGAGGGGAAGCCCCAGAAGUGCUCGGCAAAUAGAAUGAAAUUCAAGUCUUCGAGAAUCUUUACUGGAAUAGGAACAGGGACCAAAGGAGCACCAGCACUCUGAUAAUUCCAACAGAAUUAGUAUGGAAGCCCCAAGAAGUGAAGUCACUCAUUGUUAAAUUCCUGCCUCUACCCUGCACCCCUUUCUAGCAACAGAUCUGGUGCAGAGGGUAUGUGUACUCCUUGUCUCUCUACCACCCAUCACCAGCAAGCCUCCACUCUGAACACAGUGCCAAAACUGCUCCAGCAAAGGUAAUCAUUGGCUUCAGAAGCCAAAUCUAAUAUGCAUUUUCUUUCUUUUUUUUUUAAGAUGUAUUUAUUUGAGAGAGAGCUCCUGCGAGAGAAAACAGAAGUGGAGGGAGGGGCAGGGGGAGAGAUUCCUCAAACAGACUCCCCACUGAUCAGUAGCCGGAGGUGGGGCUGGAUCCCAGGACCCAUGAGAGCAUGAUCUGAAACCAAGAGUCAGACACUCAACCAACUGAGCCACCCAGACUCCCCUAAUGUGUGGUGUUUUUUAUUUUUUUAAGAUUUUAUUUAUUUGGCAGAGAGAAGGAACACAAGCAGGGGGAGUGGGAGGCUCCCACUGAGCAGGAAGGAGCCCAGGAAGCCCGAAGUGGGGCUUGAUCCCAGUUCCCCGGGAUCCUGACCUGAGCCUAUCGACUGAGCCACCCAGGUGCCCCCAUUUCCCAGUUUUCAUGUUGCUUGACUUCUAUAGCACC
rnacentral:lncRNA from 1 species